AACGAACGCUGGCGGCAGGCUUAACACAUGCAAGUCGAACGACAUAGUGGCAGACGGGUGAGUAACGCGUGGGAACGUACCCUUCACUACGGAAUAGCUUCUGGAAACGGAAGGUAAUACCGUAUACGCCCUCCGGGGGAAAGAUUUAUCGGUGAAGGAUCGGCCCGCGUUAGAUUAGUUUGUUGGUGGGGUAAUGGCCUACCAAGACUACGAUCUAUAGCUGGUCUGAGAGGAUGAUCAGCCACACUGGGACUGAGACACGGCCCAGACUCCUACGGGAGGCAGCAGUGGGGAAUCUUGCACAAUGGGCGAAAGCCUGAUGCAGCCAUGCCGCGUGAAUGAUGAAGGCCUUAGGGUUGUAAAAUUCUUUCGCCAGGGAUGAUAAUGACAGUACCUGGUAAAGAAGCCCCGGCUAACUUCGUGCCAGCAGCCGCGGUAAUACGAAGGGGGCUAGCGUUGUUCGGAAUUACUGGGCGUAAAGCGCGCGUAGGCGGGCUAUUAAGCCAGAUGUGAAAGCCCGGGGCUCAACCUCGGAAUUGCAUUUGGAACUGGUAGCCUAGAGACCAGGAGAGGUUAGCGGAAUACCGAGUGUAGAGGUGAAAUUCGUAGAUAUUCGGUGGAACACCAGUGGCGAAGGCGGCUAACUGGACUGGUACUGACGCUGAGGCGCGAAAGUGUGGGGAGCAAACAGGAUUAGAUACCCUGGUAGUCCACACCGUAAACGAUGAAUGCUAGUUGUCUGCGCGCAUGCGUGCAGGUGACGCAGCUAACGCAUUAAGCAUUCCGCCUGGGGAGUACGGCCGCAAGGUUAAAACUCAAAGAAAUUGACGGGGGCCCGCACAAGCGGUGGAGCAUGUGGUUUAAUUCGAAGCAACGCGCAGAACCUUACCCGCGUUUGACAUGCCCUGUUUGGUUACCAGAGAUGGUUUCCUUCAUUUAGUUGG
rnacentral:rRNA from 1 species